GAUGAACGCUAGCGACAGGCUUAACACAUGCAAGUCGAGGGGCAGCAUAGAAGUAGCAAUACUUUGGUGGCGACCGGCGCACGGGUGAGUAACGCGUAUGCAACCUACCUAUCAGAGGGGAAUAACCCGGCGAAAGUCGGACUAAUACCGCAUAAAACAGGGGCACCGCAUGGUGAUAUUUGUUAAAGAAAUUCGCUGAUAGAUGGGCAUGCGUUCCAUUAGGUAGUUGGUGAGGUAACGGCUCACCAAGCCGACGAUGGAUAGGGGAACUGAGAGGUUGGUCCCCCACACUGGUACGGAGAGACGGACCAGACUCCUGCGGGAGGCAGCAGUGGGGAAUAUUGGUCAAUGGGCGGGAGCCUGAACCAGCCAAGUCGCGUGAAGGAAGAAGGAUCUAUGGUUCGUAAACUUCUUUUGCAGGGGAAUAAAGUGCGGGACGUGUCCUGUUUUGUAUGUACCCUGAGAAUAAGGAUCGGCUAACUCCGUGCCAGCAGCCGCCGUAACAC
rnacentral:rRNA from 1 species